rnacentral:rRNA from 1 species
UAGAGUUUGAUCCUGGCUCAGAUUGAACGCUGGCGGCAUGCUUUACACAUGCAAGUCGAGCGGCAGCGCGGGGGCAACCCUGGCGGCGAGCGGCGAACGGGUGAGUAAUGCAUCGGAACGUGUCCCGUAGUGGGGGAUAACCCGGCGAAAGCCGGGCUAAUACCGCAUAUGCUCUACGGAGGAAAGCGGGGGAUCCGCAAGGACCUCGCGCCAUGGGAGCGGCCGAUGCCCGAUUAGCUUGUUGGUGAGGUAAAGGCUUACCAAGGCGACGAUCGGUAGCUGGUCUGAGAGGAUGAUCAGCCACACUGGGACUGAGACACGGCCCAGACUCCUACGGGGGGCAGCAGUGGGGAAUUUUGGACAAUGGGGGCAACCCUGAUCCAGCCAUGCCGCGUGCGGGAAGAAGGCCUUCGGGUUGUAAACCGCUUUUAGCCGGGAAGAAAAGGCGCGGGCUAAUACCCUGUGUUUUUGACGGUACCGGCGGAAUAAGCACCGGCUAACUACGUGCCAGCAGCCGCGGUAAUACA